GACGAACGCUGGCGGCGUGCUUAACACAUGCAAGUCGAACGGAAAGGCCCUGCUUUUGUGGGGUGCUCGAGUGGCGAACGGGUGAGUAGCACGUGAGUAACCUGCCCUUGACUUUGGGAUAACUUCAGGAAACUGGGGCUAAUACCGGAUAGGAGCUCCUGCUGCAUGGUGGGGGUUGGAAAGUUUCGGCGGUUGGGGAUGGACUCGCGGCUUAUCAGCUUGUUGGUGGGGUAGUGGCUUACCAAGGCUUUGACGGGUAGCCGGCCUGAGAGGGUGACCGGCCACAUUGGGACUGAGAUACGGCCCAGACUCCUACGGGAGGCAGCAGUGGGGAAUAUUGCACAAUGGGCGGAAGCCUGAUGCAGCGACGCCGCGUGCGGGAUGACGGCCUUCGGGUUGUAAACCGCUUUCGCCUGUGACGAAGCGUGAGUGACGGUAAUGGGUAAAGAAGCACCGGCUAACUACGUG
rnacentral:rRNA from 1 species